CCUCUCAGGUAACCAGGAACCGUACCCCAAACCGACACAGGUGGUCGGGUAGAGAAUACCAAGGCGCUUGAGAGAACUCGGGUGAAGGAACUAGGCAAAAUGGCACCGUAACUUCGGGAGAAGGUGCGCCGGCUAGGGUGAAGGAUUUACUCCGUAAGCUCUGGCUGGUCGAAGAUACCAGGCCGCUGCGACUGUUUAUUAAAAACACAGCACUCUGCAAACACGAAAGUGGACGUAUAGGGUGUGACGCCCGCCCGGUGCCGGAAGGUUAAUUGAUGGGGUUAGCGCAAGCGAAGCUCUUGAUCGAAGCCCCGGUAAACGGCGGCCGUAACAAUAACGGUCCUAAGGUAGCGAAAUUCCUUGUCGGGUAAGUUCCGACCUGCACGAAUGGCGUAACGAUGGCGGCGCUGUCUCCACCCGAGACUCAGUGAAAUUGAAAUCGCUGUGAAGAUGCAGUGUAUCCGCGGCUAGACGGAAAGACCCCGUGAACCUUUACUGUAGCUUUGCACUGGACUUUGAGCCUGCUUGUGUAGGAUAGGUGGGAGGCUUUGAAGCGUGGACGCCAGUUCGCGUGGAGCCAUCCUUGAAAUACCACCCUGGCAUGCUUGAGGUUCUAACUCUGGUCCGUAAUCCGGAUCGAGGACAGUGUAUGGUGGGCAGUUUGACUGGGGCGGUCUCCUCCUAAAGAGUAACGGAGGAGUACGAAGGUGCGCUCAGACCGGUCGGAAAUCGGUCGCAGAGUAUAAAGGCAAAAGCGCGCUUGACUGCGAGACAGACACGUCGAGCAGGUACGAAAGUAGGUCUUAGUGAUCCGGUGGUUCUGUAUGGAAGGGCCAUCGCUCAACGGAUAAAAGGUACUCCGGGGAUAACAGGCUGAUACCGCCCAAGAGUUCAUAUCGACGGCGGUGUUUGGCACCUCGAUGUCGGCUCAUCACAUCCUGGGGCUGAAGCCGGUCCCAAGGGUAUGGCUGUUCGCCAUUUAAAGUGGUACGCGAGCUGGGUUUAGAACGUCGUGAGACAGUUCGGUCCCUAUCUGCCGUGGACGUUUGAGAUUUGAGAGGGGCUGCUCCUAGUACGAGAGGACCGGAGUGGACGAACCUCUGGUGUUCCGGUUGUCACGCCAGUGGCAUUGCCGGGUAGCUAUGUUCGGAAAAGAUAACCGCUGAAAGCAUCUAAGCGGGAAACUUGCCUCAAGAUGAGAUCUCACUGGGAACUUGAUUCCCCUGAAGGGCCGUCGAAGACUACGACGUUGAUAGGCUGGGUGUGUAAGCGUUGUGAGGCGUUGAGCUAACCAGUACUAAUUGCCCGUGAGGCUUGACCU
rnacentral:rRNA from 1 species